UAAAAACAAAACAAAAAAAACAGGGUACAGACACAAGCAGACCGAGGUGUUGACAAGGGAAUAAAAGAGCAGGACCUUUACUAUCCUUCUGAGGUGGAACUGGUGUGGAGAUCCUGGAGAACUUAGAAUGAAGACCCACCUUAUCCUCAUCCUCUGUAUGAUCUCAGUGACUUAUGUCCAAACCCAAGAUGUUGAAUCCUCCAUGUGGCCAUCAUCUGCUUCUACAGCACCACCAGACCAUAAUGUCUCUUCUGCAGUUGUUUCAGGUGUACCUGUGUAUAUCUCAGUCAGUGUGGGUUUAGUCUUCUUGGCUACUGGUGUAAUUACAAUCAUCUGCUAUAAAUUCAAGUCCAAAGGUUCAGAAACAAUGGCACAAUGUUCAACAGAUAUACAUGAAUAUGAAAACGUCCAAUCAGAAAAAUAUUCCAACCAAUCAGAAUCAGUCUACCAGAACCCGAACCCCAAAACCAACCAAUCAGAAUCAGUCCAUGAGAACAUGUAUCCCAAAACCAACCAAUUAGAAUCAGUCUAUGAGAACCUGAAACCCAAAAUCAACCAAUCAGAAUCCAUCUAUAAGAACCCGAGCCCCAAAAUCAACCAAUCAGAAUCCAUCUAUGAGAACCAGAACCCCAAAAUCAACCAAACAGAAUCAGUCUUCAAGAACUCAUACCCCCAGACUAACCAAUCAGAAUCAACCUUCAAGAAUCCGAACCCCAAAAUCAACCAAGCAGAAUCAGCCUUUAAAAACCUGACCCCCCAAACCAACCAAUCAGAAUCAGCCUUUAAAAACCCGAACCCCAAAACCAACCAAUCAGAAUCAGUCUAUGAGAACAUGUAUCCCAAAACCAACCAAUCAGAAUCAGUCUAUGAGAACCUGAAGCCCAAAAUCAACCAAUCUGAAUCCAUCUAUGAGAACCCAAACCUCAAAAUCAACCAAUCAGAAUCAGUCUUUGAGAACUCAAACCCCGAAAUCAAUCAGUCAGAAUCAGUCUUCAAGAACCAGAACCCCAAAAUCAACCAAUCAGAAUCAUCCUUCAAAAACCUGAACCCCCAAAUCAACCCAUCAGAAUCAGUCUUCAAGAAUCAUAACACCAAAAUUAACCAAUCAGAAUCAGUCUUCAAAAACCCAAACCCCGAAACAAACCAAUCAGAAUCCAUCUAUGAGAACCUGAGCCCCAAAUUUAACCAAUCAGAAUCAGUCUAUGAGAACCGAACCCCAAAACCAACCAAUUAGAAUCAGUCUUCAAGAACCUGAAUCCCAAAAUCACUCAAUCAGAAUCAACCCAAAUGCAAUCACUCUGUAUGUGUUUACCAGAGACUAAAAUCUACCAAUCAGUGAUAGGGAUUCAGGUUCACCACCUAUCUGGACUGGUGUUCGUCAAAAAGUUACCCAGAAUAAUUCUUUUUUUAACCUCAGUGGCAUCACUGGGAUUCAAACUCGUGACCACCUGACAAGCUUGAGCACAUGUCAGGUUUUUAUUCAUUAAUGUAAACAUUCAGAUCUGAAAUAUGUGUAAUUUAUCUAAUACCUUUUUAUUACUUUAAAUGAUGUCAUGGCUUUUCCUAUAGGUUACUUUUAGUCUUUCAUAGUGUUUUCCUGUGAAUUGUUGGAGUGUUGGAAUACUGUUAAUAUUGCACAACAUUUCUCUACAGAUUGUUACUUCCAUCUCUAAGUUUUUAUGAUAGUGCUUAUUAUGUGCUCUAAGUUUAUAGUGCUUAUUAGUCUGUCUACAUGUGUAGUUACAUUUUAAAGUUUUAGGGUUUUAUGAGUUUAACCUAGCUGCAGAAAGACAAUUAGAUGGUCCCCAAGUUCUGAAUGUUCAGAUGGUCUUCUAAACUCUGUUUAGCUCACAGAAGCCUGUACAUACUUGUCUUGUGAGUUAUAGGUCGAUGGAUAGUGGAUUUUACCGAUACCAAGUUCAACAGACGCAACCGGAAAAAUCGGUUAUCGAUCGGUCGACUUCUAUUGUCAGCCAUGUGAUUGUAUUUUAUAUUUUCCCUUCAAUAAAGA
ensembl:lncRNA